rnacentral:rRNA from 1 species
CAGUCGCCACGGGAAUACGGAGGGGGCUAGCGUUGUUCGGAAUUACUGGGCGUAAAGCGCACGUAGGCGGCUUUGUAAGUUAGAGGUGAAAGCCCGGGGCUCAACCCCGGAAUUGCCUUUAAGACUGCAGGGCUAGCAGGUGAGAGAGGUGAGUGGAAUUCCGAGUGUAGAGGUGAAAUUCGUAGAUAUUCGGAAGAACACCAGUGGCGAAGGCGGCUCACUGGCUCAUACUGGACGCUGAGGUGCGAAAGCGUGGGGAGCAAACAGGAUUAGAUACCCGAGUAGUCCCUGUCUCUUAUAA